AUCAACUUUCGAUGGUAGGAUAGAGGCCUACCAUGGUGGUAACGGGUAACGGGGUGUUAGGGCACGACACCGGAGAGGGAGCCUGAGAAACGGCUACCACAUCCAAGGAUGGCAGCAGGCGCGCAAAUUACCCAAUCCCGACACGGGGAGGUAGUGACAAUAAAUAACAAUACGGGGUUCUUUAGGAUCUCGUAAUUGGAAUGAGUACAAUUUAAAUCUCUUAACGAGGAACAAUUGGAGGGCAAGUCUGGUGCCAGCAGCCGCGGUAAUUCCAGCUCCAAUAGCGUAUAUUAAAGUUGUUGCAGUUAAAAAGCUCGUAGUUGAAUUUCGGGGUUAGUAGGUUGGUCAUGCCUCUGGUAUGUACUGGUCUCACUGAUUUCUCCUUCCUGAUGAACCGUAAUGCCAUUAAUUUGGUGUUGCGGGGAAUUUGGACUGUUACUUUGAAAAAAUUAGAGUGUUUAAAGCAAGCUAACGCUUGAAUACAUUAGCAUGGAAUAAUGAAAUAGGACGUUCGAUCCUAUUUUGUUGGUUUCUAGGAUUGACGUAAUGAUUAAUAGGGAUAGUUGGGGGCAUUAGUAUUCAAUUGUCAGAGGUGAAAUUCUUGGAUUUAUUGAAGACUAACUACUGCGAAAGCAUUUGCCAAGGAUGUUUUCAUUAAUCAAGAACGAAAGUUAGGGGAUCGAAGACGAUCAGAUACCGUCGUAGUCUUAACCAUAAACUAUGCCGACUAGGGAUCGGAUGAUGUUAAUUUUUUAAUGACUCAUUCGGCGCCUUACGGGAAACCAAAGUGUUUGGGUUC
rnacentral:rRNA from 1 species